UACGAGGGGGGCGAGCGUUGUUCGGAAUUAUUGGGCGUAAAGGGUGCGUAGGCGGUUCCGCAAGUCCUGUGUGAAAUCUUCGGGCUCAACUCGAAGUCUGCACGGGAAACUGCGGGGCUUUGAGUGUGGGAGAGGUGAGUGGAACUGCGAGUGUAGAGGUGAAAUUCGUAGAUAUUCGCAAGAACACCAGUGGCGAAGGCGGCUCACUGGCCCGAUACUGACGCUGAGGUGCGAAAGCGUGGGGAGCAAACAGG
rnacentral:rRNA from 1 species